rnacentral:rRNA from 1 species
UACGGAGGGUGCGAGCGUUAAUCGGAAUCACUGGGCGUAAAGCGCGCGUAGGCGGCUUUUCAAGUCAGGGGUGAAAUCCCACGGCCCAACCGUGGAACUGCCUUUGAAACUGUAGAGCUUGAGUGUCGGAGAGGGUGGCGGAAUUCCAGGUGUAGGAGUGAAAUCCGUAGAUAUCUGGAGGAACACCGGUGGCGAAGGCGGCCACCUGGACGACAACUGACGCUGAGGUGCGAAAGCGUGGGUAGCAA